UGUUUGUUUGUUUUGAUACAGGGUCUUGCUCUGUUGACCAGACCGUGACCUCCUGGGUUCAAACGAGGACUCGGCCUCCUGAGUAGCCGAGACUACAGGGUCUUGCUCUGUUGACCAGACCAUGACCUCCUGGGUUCAAGCGAGGACUCAGCCUCCUGAGUAGCCGGGACUACAGGAGAUGAACAAGCCAUGCGGGUGCCCUCAAGAUGUGUGUGACCAUGGAAUGGGAGACUGGAGGGCCCCAUGAAUUCCAACUACAGGCCUGGUUCCCCCAGUACGAGCCAUAAGCCAGUUGAAUUCGGACGCAAAGACAGAAGGAGGAUCGACCAGAGUCACAUUGACAUCAACCACCAUAAUAUGGGGACAGAUCAAGAAAACCACACAGGAAGCUGAGAAACUGCUGGAGCACCAAGGUUUCACCUUUUGCUGGAACUCAGAGGUACAAUCAAUGCUUAACGGACCAAUGCUUUCUGACUGGACUCCUCUCUACCCUGAAUACAAGAGACCCUAAGAGUUAAGCAGGAAUAUCAGUCUCUAUUCAGCAAGAAGAAGUUGCAGAAGAUGGACCUUCAUCCUUCUGCAACUCUUAGGAUUAAGGGUCCUCUUGUGAAAGGGAAGGGGGAAAUAUGAAAGAAGCAUUCAAACCAGAGUGACUCCAUUUUGAAUGAGGGCUAAGAAAAAUUAAGCUGGAUCACCAACUGGCAAUUAAGGGCUGCACAGCCUGCAAUUGCCUUGCUCAAUUAAUUUAAAAACAAAAAGGAGAUGUUGGAGGCUGCACAAGUAUUUCUUAUGAUUAGGCACAAUUGAAGCCUAUCAGUAGUAAUAUGAACCUGUGAUCAAUUAAGCAGCUGAACAAUCGUUACCUCCUCCUUGCUCUUGUUACCCAAUAAAUAUGAAGCUCUGAGAAGCUCGGGUGGUGGCCUUUGCUCACUACGAGUAGGGAGAUCUUCUCCAGCCAGGACAUGAGGCUUUCAACAGCAUCAGCUGCAGUAUUUUAGGGAGGAUACAAGUUUUCCCUGAAGUCACCUGGGGAAGUAUUCCCGUUUCUCAGGUGCUGGGUGGGGCUGUAGAGCUCCCAAGAGAUUAUGUCUUUUGUCUUUGGCUUCCAGGGCAGGCAGAGAAAGAUCAUCAGUUGGGGAUAGGAUUAGGUAUGUCUGAGCUCAGACUAUCCUUGGGCACAGCUUGCAGUGGCUGCUGUGGGAGAUAGGGGUGUGUUUCUCAGGCUGAUGGAGUUACAUUCCCAGGGCUAUUAGGGCUGCUUCUGCUGCAUCAUACAGGACAUCAGGGAAGUAGGGGGAAAGCUGGCAGUGACAGGCCUCACCCAGCUCCCAUGCAGCCAGAAAUGCCAGUCUCACUCCUGCUGUGCUCCCCCAACAGCACCGACUUUAUAUCCAGGGGCUGAGAACUUGCCAGGGGAAAGCCCGCCUGCUGAGAAAGCAAGCAGGGCUUUCAGGCAUUGCCCCCUCCCUGCCCCGGCUUCUGUGCUUUUAUUGGCACUUUGUUUUUGCCUCCCACCCCCAAAUUGUGUCCUGGAAAAUUCACGGUUAGUUGAAAUUAUCACAAAGUUCAGCUGGAAGUUUCCUUCUCCCUGUGGUCCUUCCCCAAUUUUACUGGCAUCCCUCUGUUAUAAAUAAAGUUUCAGUGCCACAAAAGAAAUAGCACUCGAAUAUAAAAUUUUCUUUUUAAUUCUCAGCAAGGCAAGUCACUUCUAUAGAAGGGUGCACCCUUACAGAUGGAGCAAUGGUGAGAGCACACUUGGACAAGUGAGGGAAACGGGUUCUUAUCCCUGACUCCUGUGGCCCCUGCUGCUGUGUUGUUCCCCUAUUGGCUAGGGUUAGACCGCACAGGCUAAACUAAUUCAGACUGGCUAAUUUAAAGAGUGACAGGGUGAGUGGUUUGGUGGGAAAAAUGGUUAUGACAGAGCAGGUAAUUGGAAUGAGUCAGGGUAGAGCAGGUAAUCGAAAAAGGUUGCUUUACAAUAAAGUUAAGUUUAAAAGUCAAAGGCAAAGAAUUGAAUAUACUGACACUGAUUCUUUGAAAAGAAAUUUAGAACUGAUAUCUAACAUUGGCAAAACAUGAAAAGGAGAAACGGGGCGGGGGAAGAAGAAAACGAGGAGAUUAUGAUGUUCCAGAAUUGCAAGCCAUGGAGUCAUUGAUGAGUAAGUAGUGUCAGUAGUGGCUACAUGGUUUCAAGAUUAACCUUUGGCUGAGCAAUGAGGAGUCAUUGCCAAUGUUGUCAAAGUGGUUGCAGAGAAAGAGUGGCUGGAAGACGAAGCAGAGCAGGUGUGCAAGAGAAUGGCAAAUGGUGUGAUGGAUUUCCUGGACACCCCUGAUGUGAAUUGAAACACCACAGACAAGACAGUUCAGGUGGACACGCGCCCACUGAUACUCCUUCUAAUUGCCACAUGUGAGAGGAGGAUAUGACACGUGAUAUCGCAGGGAGUAGAAACACCCCUGUGAUACUGUUCUUCAUAUUCAGGGAUGAAGAGGAUGAUAUUAAUCCCAAUACAGAUGGGUGUGCACCCUCUGUACACCGAGGUUGUACACCCGUCUGUGAAAGUGUUCGUAAUCUCCAGAGGGGGAGAAUAUAUUACUCACAAUAUGGUAAAGAGGCUGUGAGUCCACGGAGGAUCCUCAGAGCCAGCGGGGGAAGAGGAGCUGGCUUUCAGUCCCUCCCUCACGGGGGUGACUACCCCCACUGCGAUGGGGGACCUAAGAGCCAGUGGGGGAAGAGGGGCUGGCUCUGAGUCCCCGCCUCGCUGGGGUUGCCUCCCCCCCCUGCGAUGGGGGUCCUAAGAGCCAGGAGCAGAAGAGGGGCUGGCUCUCUGUACCCGCCUCUCGAGGGGUGCCUCCCCCCCGUGAUGGGGGUCCUAAGAGCCAGAAGGCUUAGAGGGGCUUGCUCUCAGUCCCCGCCUCGUGGGGGGUGCCUCCUCCCCCUGCGAUGGGGGUCCUAAGGGCCCAGGAGGAAGAGGGGCUGGCUCUGAGUCCCCGCCUCGCGGGGAGUGCCUCCCCUUCCUGCGACGGUGGUCCUAAGAGCCAGGGGGGAAGAGGAGCUGGCUCUCAGUCUCCGCCUCGUGAGGUGCCUCCCCACCUUGCGAUCAGGGUCCCAAGAGCCAAGGUGGAAGAGGGGCUGGCUCUCUUUGUGGAUGUUUCUUUUUCCAUUCUCAGGCAGUUUUCUUUUUUCUUUCUUUUUUUUUUUUUGAGACUGUGUCUUGCUCUGUUGCCCAUGCUUUGCUGAAUCUCAGGUGACUGCAACCACUGCCUCCCAGGUUCAAGAGAUUCUCCUGCCUCAGCCUCCUGUGUAGCUGGGACUAGAGGCGUGUGUCACCACACCCAACUAAUUUUCGUAUUUUUAGUAGAGAUGGGGUUUCACCAUGUUUGCCAGGAUGGUCUCUAUCUCCUGACCUUGUGAUUCACCCACCUCAGCCUCCCAAAGUGCUGGGAUUGCAGGUGCGAGCCACCGGAUCCAGCCUCUCAGACGAUUUUCAUACCUGCAUACUCUGAUCACUACUCUAUUAAACAGUCAACGAGGCUGAGUGCCACGUGCUGACAUCACUAAGAUCAAUACAGCAAACUCUGAAAGAUGGACAGGGAGACAGGAGAUGGUCCUUUAUAAUGCAGUGUGAUCUGUGCUGCAAUAGAGUUUUGGAAGCUAGAAGUUCAAAACGAGGUGUUGGCAGCACCAUGCUCUCUCUGAAGAUGCUAGGAAGAAUCUGCUCCAUGCCUUUCCAUUCGCUUCUGGGGUUUCCUGCAAGCCCUGACAUUCCUUGGCUUGUAGAUGCAUCACCCCAGUUUCCGCCCCCAUCAUCACAUGGCCUCCUCUCUGCGUGUGCCUCUGCCUUCCCUCUGUUCUUCUUCUAAGGACACCGACACCAGUCAUAGUGGAUUAAGGGUCCACUCCUAACUAAUUAUAUCUGCAACAACCCUAUUUCCAAAUAAAGUCACAUUCUAAGA